AAUGCCGAACAUUGGCCAAAUGACGUCACGCUUUAUUCAUCAAAGUGGAAAAAUGAAAUGAACGAUUAUGUCAUUUGAGUAUCGGUUCAUGCAAAAUAUACUUGUUUCCUUUAAAUACAAAGUUAAUAUGCUAAGAUAAAUAUAUGCUAAAUUCAUACAUAAUUUCUCACAAAAUAUGUCUUUUAUUUCUAUAGAUGAUACAAGCCACAUUACCAAACCAUGCUGAUGGAACAAACAACGAUAUGAAGGGCGUUGCAUUUCGAAACCCGUUGUGCAUUUCUGAUUUCGGGAUCUACAAGUAAAUAUCAACAUGGCAACAGAUUCUACAACGUGCGUAUUUUGUGCGCAGGAUAUCCAGAAUGGGUCCCAAUUGUCACUCUCAGAGAGAAGGGAAGCCACAGUGUUAACCAUGCUAGCGAUCUGAGGAAUUCAAGUAUACAAGUAUACGAACAAUUACAGGCCAAAUGGUGCACCAAGACUGUAGAAGGGAUUUUAUUCACAAUAGAAACAUUUCAAAUAGUUCCAAUGUUAAGUGUAACCAAGUUAAAAGGGAAACGUAGAUGUUCAUCCUGGUAGAAGUUUUGAUUUUCAGGAAACACAUCGUCGGAACCCACGGUACACAUUUCGUAUCUACUACAUUUAAUAUUAUUACCGAUACAUGUAUACGGUAAAAAACAUGGGUUUCCGAGGAUGCAGGAAACAAUACAACUUAAAUGUUCUGAGAGAAACAAUCUGUGGGGAAAUGUUGUUUUAAACAGACUGUUGUCAGUUUUGGAUUUUCGUCAGAUUCGAAGAAUGUAUAUUACAGAUCAGACAAUGAAAACCCAAAUAGUUUGGCAUAUAUAUUCAAAAGACACCAAAAUGUGAUUGGAAUAGAGAUUUGUUAUCUCCUACCAUUCCUGCACGCUUUCUCUAGAUUGUGACAGUUCUUAAAAUAAUGUGUAAAAAUGAAGUGUUCCGGCAAAAUGCUGCAAUAUUUCAUUCUUCAACAAAGAAGAAAUUAUUACAGGUGGUGAAAAAUCCAUGAGGAUAUUAUAUGAUGGAGCUAGGGAGAUAAAUUUGAACAGACUGAGAUUUCACAAAUUUGUAAGUAAAACCAUGUCAAGUUCAUCUGUUAUUCAAGUUCAAAGCAUUCAGCCUACGUCUGAUGCUGCAGCGCAACACUCUAUACCGUCAUAUUUUCAAACACAAACAUGGAUUGGAAAUGAUAAAUUAGAUCCAACUGAAUGGGGAUAGGAACUUCUCGAAGGACUCUUGUACCCACAAAAUCUACACAACCCGCUGCUCCAGAUUUUCUUUUAAAUAUCAGAUGCAAUUGCAAAAAAGCCACUCUUAGACAUGUACCGGUCGCAAACAUGACCUCGAAUGUUCGGUUGGUUGUGGAGAAUGUCAUUGUAUUAGCUGUUCAAACUGUCGGUCCAUUUCAGAUAUUGAUUUUGCAGACAUGGAGGACUAGAUCUUGUAUCGACACAAUGCUCUUAGAAUUUAGUUGUCAAUUUUUACCUGUUUUGUAUUGACAUGUAUUCAUAUUUUGUGUUAUUAUUGGCAAUGUACAUGCAUCUGGCAUCUUGUUUUUACAUAAGCAAUAGAGGUUUCACUUUAAGUUAUUCAUAUAAAACUUUGCAGACAAAUAUGUUCUAUAUAUUGAACAGUCUCAUAUUCCUCGCGAAGUAAAUACAAUGUAGCUUGUAAUAAAAACAAAAGAUUUAUAAUAAUACACUGUUUGCUUGCCAUAUGAAGUAUUUUUUAGUAUUGUAGUUAUACUCUUUUAUCCAGUGUCAAAUUAUACUAAAAUUUAUGCACAAUAUUUUACAUUGGUGUCUAUCACAGAACAAUAAACUUGUACUAACCAAACUAUGCGCUAUAACAAAAAUGUAGUAAAAUGGUUGAAACAAUCUAACUCCAAAUGUACAAUGGUAUUGUGCAUUUAGAGUUAGAUUGUAUAUUGAAUACAUACUUAUCAAUGCUUUCUUAUAUUUGCUUGUGUUGCGACAGACUGUUUUUUUCUCUAAUUGUCAAUGUCAAAGUUCACCUAUUGUAAAUAAAAAUGUAUUACUAUACUGUCUAACAUACAGAACGAUAAUUUCAAAUUUAUAGAAGUGGUCUUAUAUGUUGUAGACUGUUAUGUGUUAGUACAAGCAUGACAAUAACCCUACCAUAUACUUUAAGUGAUUUAAGUGUACAUAUCGAUGUGACAAAAAUGUAGUUCUUGUGAAUGAAACAGUCUGUAUAUUCGUGUUCUUUAUAUUUAUUAUCACUACAUUGUUGCUUGCCAAAUUAGGUAGCUCUUCGGUACAUUUGUACAUUUGUAAUAUAGUUUUAUUCCGUGUGUAAUGUCAAAUUUCAACAAGUGACACUUAAAUGUAUAUACUACAAUUUCUCCAUAGACCGGGCAUAGUAUUUUUCAUCUGUAGUUUUGGUUAUUUUUACUCGCUUUUAAUUAUACUUACUUGUUGUUCUUUUUUUUUUUUUUGCUUGAAACAAACAAAUUAUUCAAAAUGCGUUGGAUGUGCCGAAUGUUAGCUAAACAAAAGUGUACCUGAAUUAUUCAACAUUUAUCUAAAACAAAAAUUUACAAUACACAUGUAUGUCCAUUUUAAUUCAUAUGAAUACAGUUGACAUAAUUUACAAAGUACUUCUUCAUGCAUAAAUAUGUUAUUAUGUAUUUUUUUACUGUAAAUAUACAUGGAAUGGAUGAUUUGCUGCUUAUAUAUCGGAAUUUGACUGGUUAAAAAUUUUAAAUUAAAGUGGGUGGGGUAAUUUGACACCAGUUUGUCAUAGAAUUGCCGACCAAUUUUUUUUUUUAAUUUUAAAUGCAUAAAUUUUUGUAUCAACAUGGACAAAAAAUUUGUUUGUAUGAAGUUUGCAUGUAAUAAAUAUGUUUAACUUAUAUAUAGAAGUGGUUUUUUUAGUAUCAUCGGAAAUUAACAAAUUACGCCGAUUUUAUAACUGAAAUUUAAGGGUGUCAACUUGAAAGCUGGAAUUAUCACAUUUCCCCUUCAGCAAAAGAGUGCAACUUUUUUCCUAAUAUCAAGCAGAUAUGGUACCAUCAUAAAAUACCAAAACAAAAACUUUUGCAAUUAGUUCUAGGUUAGCUUGAUUUUCGGGCUAAUUUGACU